rnacentral:misc_RNA from 1 species
GUCGAACCCCAACAGCAGCUGGCCGCACCUCCGACAACAACCUUGCGUGAACGGCGGCAACGUCUAGCGAACCGAAACGCCAACCAAAAUCGACCCUCGUUCGUGGUCGAGCGGAAAUCGACGAACGACGACGACCACCGGAGAUAGCGGCGACGGACGGGGGGGCAACGACGGUGAUGUGGUGGCCAGUAGAAAAAAAUUGAAGGAUGGAGAAGGCGACGAAGAAGUGUGGAGGG